GACGAACGCUGGCGGCGUGGAUUAGGCAUGCAAGUCGCGCGACGCAUUCCCUUCGGGGUUUGACGGAGCGGCGAACGGGUGAGUAACACGUGAGGAACCUGUCCCUACUUUCCGGAUAAUUGGCCGAAAGGCCUUGUAAUACGGGCGAGGGUCUUUGGUGGGCAUCCACUAAAGAAGGAAGGCGCAAGCCGAGCAGGGAGGGUCUCGCGGCCUAUCAGCUUGUUGGUGGGGUAAAGGCCUACCAAGGCGACGACGGGUAGCUGGUCUGAGAGGAUGGUCAGCCACAUUGGAACUGAGACACUGUCCAGACUCCUACGGGAGGCUGCAGUCGAGAAUCUUGGUCAAUGCACGAAAGUGUGAACCAGCGACGCCGCGUGAAGGAUGAAGGACCUCUGGUUCGUAAACUUC
rnacentral:rRNA from 1 species